rnacentral:rRNA from 1 species
UACCAAGGCGACGAUACGUAGCCGACCUGAGAGGGUGAUCGGCCACACUGGAACUGAGACACGGUCCAGACUCCUACGGGAGGCAGCAGUAGGGAAUCUUCCGCAAUGGGCGAAAGCCUGACGGAGCAACGCCGCGUGAGUGAUGAAGGUCUUCGGAUCGUAAAGCUCUGUUGUUAGGGAAGAACAAAUGUGUAAGUAACUGUGCACAUCUUGACGGUACCUAACCAGAAAGCCACGGCUAACUACGUGCCAGCAGCCGCGGUAAUACGUAGGUGGCAAGCGUUAUCCGGAAUUAUUGGGCGUAAAGCGCGCGUAGGCGGUUUUUUAAGUCUGAUGUGAAAGCCCACGGCUCAACCGUGGAGGGUCAUUGGAAACUGGAAAACUUGAGUGCAGAAGAGGAAAGUGGAAUUCCAUGUGUAGCGGUGAAAUGCGCAGAGAUAUGGAGGAACACCAGUGGCGAAGGCGGCUUUCUGGUCUGCAACUGACGCUGAUGUGCGAAAGCGUGGGGAUCAAACAGGAUUAGAUACCCUGGUAGUCCACGCCGUAAACGAUGAGUGCUAAGUGUUAGGGGGUUUCCGCCCCUUAGUGCUGCAGCUAACGCAUUAAGCACUCCGCCUGGGGAGUACGGUCGCAAGACUGAAACUCAAAGGAAUUGACGGGGACCCGCACAAGCGGUGGAGCAUGUGGUUUAAUUCGAAGCAACGCGAAGAACCUUACCAAAUCUUGACAUCCUUUGACCGCUCUAGAGAUAGAGUUUUCCUCUUCGGAGGACAAAGUGACAGGUGGUGCAUGGUUGUCGUCAGCUCGUGUCGUGAGAUGUUGGGUUAAGUCCCGCAACGAGCGCAACCCUUGAACUUAGUUGCCAUCAUUCAGUUGGGCACUCUAAGUUGACUGCCGGUGACAAACCGGAGGAAGGUGGGGAUGACGUCAAAUCAUCAUGCCCCUUAUGAUUUGGGCUACACACGUGCUACAAUGGACAAUACAAAGGGCAGCGAAACCGCGAGGUCAAGCAAAUCCCAUAAAGUUGUUCUCAGUUCGGAUUGUAGUCUGCAACUCGACUACAUGAAGCUGGAAUCGCUAGUAAUCGUAGAUCAGCAUGCUACGGUGAAUACGUUCCCGGGUCUUGUACACACCGCCCGUCACACCACGAGAGUUUGUAACACCCGAAGCCGGUGGAGUAACCAUUUUGGAGCUAGCCGUCGAAGGUGGGACAAAUGAUUGGGGUGAAGUCGUAACAAGGUAGCCGUAUCGGAAGGUGCGGCUGGAUCAC